rnacentral:tRNA from 1 species
GGUGCUGUGGCUCAGAGGGUAGAGCAUUAGCCUUGAGCACUAAAGCUAAUGGACAGCGCCC